AAGCUCAAAAGAAGAUCUGGUUGAAGAGGAUUGCAGUUUAGACCAACAACUUUAGUUCCUUUCUCGUGAAUCAAAUUUGGUUUGCACAUUACUUUAUUACUCCAUAUAUCACCCCUGUAUAUGUCAACCAAAUAAAACCAGAUAUAAGCAUGUAUAAAACCAUAGUGGGAUCAAACACAUAAAAAGAUGGGGUAGGCACUAGAAUACUGUCAACAUCAAAAGUCUGUUCUUUCUUGGGCAAGCAUUACUGUAGGAAAUGGAACAAAAGUUCCACUAGUUAGAAUUUUUCUUCCAAAACACCAAACUCUACUUGCCAUUUCUACUCUUGAUCAUCUAGGAAGAAAUUUUAUUCAGUUUUCUAGCUUUAAGAGAAAGGAGGGCCAGUGAUCUGGAUCAAGCAAAGUGCAUCAAGGACGAGGAUGGCAAGGUACUAGUGAAGGAAGCACCUAUUAGACGACGAUGGCAGUUAUACUUCUAUAAACUCUUUGAACAAAGAGGAGUACAAGGAUUGUGCUGGGGUAGUUAGAUCACUCGGCCAGGCAUCAGGGUUUUGAAUGUGGUAGGUGUGUAAAGGUUGAGGGUGUUAUUCAUACGUUGCAUAAGGGAAGACUAAUGAGGACAUACGAGAUUCGGGUGGAAUUUUGGAGGAGCGCAAUAGCAUAGGUUUGGAGUGGCUUACUAGGUUGUUCAGUGUUGUUUUUAAAACACCAAAAACACCUAUGGAGGUGGAGUACGAUGAUUUUGAUGUACAAGAACAAGGGUGACAUCAAGAAUUGUAAAUACUGUGAGGGUAUCAAGCUGGCAAGCCACACUAUGGAACUUUGGAAAGGGUGGUAGAGAUGAGGGUGGGGAGGGGUCUGGCAUUUUUAUAAACUAGUUUGGAUUCAUGUGGGCACACUCGACUAUAAAAGUUAUUCAUAUUGUAAAUAGAUCGGAGGAACAGGGAGAGAAAGGACUUACACAGGGUGUUAAUCAACGUAGAAAAGAGUUAUGAUAAAGUCCAAAGGAAGGUUUUAUAGAGAUACUUGGAGGUUAAACGUGUAUCAGUGACGUACACUUACUAUCAGAAGAAGGGGAAGAAGAAAUUGAAAACAACAAGCUGAAACAACAAUAAAAUGGAGCUGUAAAUUGCUGCCAGAAAACAAAUUGCAGAGAAGAAGAGCUGAAACUUGUUUUGUACUCUUAUUUUAUUUCUCUUAAUUGAUCAUUGCAUAGACUGCACACAUAUAUAUAGUGUGUGUGUGUGAGGAAUACAAACUACAAAACAAGCAAAAAUAUCUCAGACAAUACUAAGUACAUAUGUGCCAAUUAACCACCACUCAUUUUAAAUAAAAGAGUUAUCUACUACAAAAAUAUCUACUAACUGGGAGUUUCUAGAAAAAUCUAAAAAUAUCUACUAACUAAGCGUUUCUAGAAAAAUCCAAAAGUAUCUACUAACUAGGAGUUUCUAGACAAAUCUUAUUUUCCUAACAGUCCUCCUUAAAAUUUUUCAUUGAAAUUUCCAGCAACGUCCUUUAGAACUCAAACUUAUUGGUGGGAAGAUCCUUGGUUAGAACAUCGCCUUGUUGUUCUUCACUUCGGAAAGGCACCAUCUUAGCUUCGCCAUUCUUCUCGGCAUCUCGCAAAUCAUGAAAUCUGAUGUUGGUAUGCUUUUUCCAUCCAUGUUACACUGGAUUUUUAGCUAUAACAAUGGCUGAUUUACUGUCAACAUGGAUCACUGUUGGUUCUUCUGGCAAAAGAUCCAAUUCAAACAAGAUUUUCCUCAACCAAAUUCCUUGAUUUGUAGCAGAUACAAAAGCCACAUACUUGGCUUCAGCUAAAGAUUGAGCUACGAUAUCUUGCUUCUUUGUGCUCCAAGGAAAAAAUGUCUGAACCAAAUAAAAAAGAGUAACCAGAUGUGCUUUUGUAAUCAUCCAAACAUCCAACCCAAUCACUAUGUAAAUAGCCAAUAAGAACUCCAUUCUCCACACUUUUGUACCAAAUGCCAUAAUCAGUUGUCCCUCUAAUAUACCUCAAUACCCUUUUAGCAGCUCCAAGAUUCUUGGUGUAAGGAAAUUGCAUAUAUCAGGACAGUGGACUAGCAACAAACUUCACAUCUGGCCUUUUUGGAUAAGAAAAUUCCUUCAGAAGAUUGAGAAAUCUCCAUUUCCAAGAAAAACUUUAUCUCUCAUAGAUCAGACAUUUCAAAAACUUUAGCAUCGUAUUUUUAACUUCUUGAACCGCAAUAGAAUAUCACCUAUGAUUAUCAAAUCAUCAACAUAAACGAAUAUCACAAUCAACCUCCCAUCAUCUUACCUUUUGAAGUAUAAAGUAGGCUUAUUUAGGAUUCUGUUGAAGCCUUGAGAUAACAAAUGAGUAUCCAGACUACUAUACCAAGCUCUCGAAGCUUGAUUAAGGCCAUAGAGAGCCUUUUUAAGUUUAUACAUCUUGUAUUCUUCACUUGCAACUAUAAAACUUUCAGGUUGUUCAACAUAAAUAUCUUCUUCAAUAAAUCCAUUUAGAAAUGCAGAUUGACAUCUAAAUGGUAGAUUUUCCACAUGUAUUGUGCUGCAAGAGCGACUAGAAAUCUUACUAUUGUAUGCCUUGUAACAGGAGAUAACAUAUCUCCAAAGUCCACUUCGGACUACUGGGAAUAGCCUUUAACUACAAGUUUGGAUUUAUGUUUGAUGAUGGAGCCACCUGGAUUAAACUUAAUUCUAUAGACCCAUUUGACAUCAAUGACGUUCUUUUGGUCGGGCCUAUCAACUAGCUCCCAAGUAUUAUUUUUAUUAAUCAUGGCAAGCUCCUUCUCCAUUGCAGAAAUCCAAGCUUUAUGACCCACUGCUUCUUCAAAAGAAUAUGGUUCGACAAGAGAAAAAUUGCAUUGCUCAUAAACUUCAGUUAAUGAUCUGUUCUUCAAAACUGGAGAAUCAAUUGUCAAUUCAACAUUUGAAAAGUUUCCUAUUCCAACAAUAGGACUGGAAGAAAUAUCACUUGUGUGUGGAUUUUGAGCUGCAAUUGAAAUACUCCCAUCUUGGUUCUUUACAAUAGUAUCUCGAUCCCAAUCAUAGUAGCUAGACUCAUCUACCGCAAGAUCUCUACUGAUAAGACCUUUUUUUGUACGAACAUUAUACACUUUGUAUCCUUUAGUAGUUGUGCUAUAGCCCAACAAAAUAUAGAGUUCUACCUUAUUAUCCAAUUUGCCUCUUUUAGCAUCUGGACAUGUGCAUAGCAAACUGAACCAAAGACUUUUAAGUAUCUCGCAGACGACUUUAUACCCCUCUAUGCUUUAAAUGCCAUCAUGUCUUAGAGUGCUCUAUUUGGUAAUCUAUUCAGGAAAUAGAUGGCAUUAUUGACUACCUUAGCCCAAAAAUAUUUAGGCAUCUUCUUUUCUGCCAACAUGCAUAUCGCCAUCUCCAUCACUAUUCUGUUCUUCCUAUCAGAAACCCUGUUCUGUUCUGAAGUGUAGCUAACAGAGAAUUAUUACAAUACAUUCUAAACUAGUGCGAAGUAUAUUCAAUCCAUUAUCUGACAUGAUAUACUUCUACCAGCAACCACUCUCACUUUCUACCAUAGCCUUGAAUUCUUUGAAAACAAAAAACACCUGAACUUUGCUACUUAGAAAAUAGACCCAUGUCAUUCGAGUUAGAUCAUCUAUAAAGAGAAUAAAAUAUUUAUUUCCACUCAAAGAAGCCGUCCUUAUUGGUCCACAUAUAUCUAUAUGAACCAACUCUUGCUUUUCUUUCGCUCUCUAAAGAUUUUGUUUAAGAAAGGAUCAUCUAUGGAAUUUACCAAAUUGACAUAACUCACAAAUAUCUCGGCACAUAUCAAUUUCGGGUACAUCAAGCAUCAUACCCUUGGAUUAUAUAUACACCAAUGAACUAAGGUUGUAAUGACUAAAUCUUUUGUGCUAAAGCUAAGUAUCACUCAUUUCAACAUUGAAAGAGCAAAUUUCAGCAAAAUAUCAUGAUAUUAGAAAGUAAUUACCAAUCAUGCUAAUUUUAGCUACUUCACAACCUUUAGGAUCAUAAAUGACAUAUUUUUAUCCUUAAAAGUAAGUGAAUAAUUAUUUGUGAAGCAACUGAGCAACACUCAACAAGUUUUGAGUCAAGCUUGGCACAUAAAGAAUAUCAUUUAUAAUUUUCAUACCUUCAUUCAUAAGGAAUUUCACUGAUCCUCUUCCUUGAGCUUGCACCAGUGCAGCAUCUCCAAGCUUCACUUUGGUCCUAUCAGACAUGUCCAAGCUAAAAAAUAGAUAUUCAUUAAUCGCCAUGUGCCUUGUGCACACACUAUUAACAUAACAAUUAUAUCGAUCAACAUGUGAUGUGUGCAAAGUCAUAAAUACCUCCUCCUCUGAUUUUUCAACUUGGUGAUCUUUCGUAAAAUUUACUCUUUGGGAAGACUGACCACUUUGAGCUUGGUUUUUCCUGCAAUACUUUUCAAUGUGUCCAUAAUUCUUACAAUAUCUACAUUGAAUAGGAGACCACUUAGACUUCUGACAACAAUUCUUCUGUAAGUGGUUUGUCUUAUUACAAACACCACAAGGUGGAAAUUUACCUUUCCUCGAUGAUUCACCUUGGUAUCCACCAGAUUUUGCCUCUCUAGAGUGGUCUAAUGAAACCAUUUUGACUUUCUUUGGUUGCUUGAAUUUAUGCCUUACUUGAAAGGCAUCUUCAAUUGUCCCUUCACUUUUCAUAGUUACCCGUUGCUCUUGUAUUUGCAAUUUAGAGAUCAGUUCAGCUAUUGAAAGAGUAGUCAAGUCACUAGAUCUUCAAUAGCUGAGAUUUUUUAUUCAACUUAUCCGAAAGGCUGACCAUGAUCUUCUCUACAACUUUCUAAUCUGGAAAGUUUUCACUAAGUAUCCUUAUUUGGUUCACAAUAUCCAUCAUCUUGGAAGAGUAUUCCUUCACAGUAUCUGAAUCCUUCAUCUUUAAGAGCUCAAACUCCCUUUUUAAAGCUAAGACCUUAAAAGACUUAACUUUGUUGCUGCCUUAAAACUCUCCUUUUAACUUAAGGCUCUUUGGCUGUUUCACAAGCCACAAUCCUCGUAAACAUCACUUCCAUAAGGCUUAAAUGGAUGCAAGUGAGAGCUCUUGGAGAUCUAGCUACCAACUCAUCGUACUUUUUGAUUUAAUUGAGAGUUGUGUUGUCUCUCAAUGCCUGGAUAGUAGGUUCUUCUCUCUCAACGACAUCCCAUAAGUUGAGAGCUUUCAAAUAAGCCUUUAUUUUAAUGGUAUAAAUAUGGUAAUUCUCCCCCGAUAAAAUCAGAGGACCCAUUAUUGGUUGAUUUUCUAGUGCCAUGUAUUCUAGCAAAUAGAUCCAAGAAAAGGAGAUAAUAAUAAUAUGAGCCAAUCAACUAAAACAUAUUCAGAUCCCAUAAGAAAUUGGCUUUGAUACCAUGUCAUAAGAAGGGGAAGAAGAACUGAAAAACAACAAGCUGAAACAACAACAAAAUGGAGCUGUAAAUUGAUGCCAGAAAAUAAACUGCUGAGAAAAAAAGCUGAAACUUGUUUUGUGCUCUUAUUUAUUUCUCCUAAUUGAUCACUGCAUAGACUACACACAUAUAUAGUGUGUGUGAGAGAGGAAUACAAAUCACAAAACAAACAAAAAUUUCUCACACAAUACUAAUUACAUAUAUGGCCAACUAACCACCACUUAUUUUAAAUAAAAGACCUAUUUAAUCCAAAAAUAUCUACUAACUGGGAGUUUCCAGACAAAUCCAAAAAUGUCUACUAACUAGGAGUUUCUAGACAAAUCUAAAAAAUAUCUACUAACUAGGAGUUUCUAGAUAAAUCUUAUUUUCCUAAUACUUACACUAGGGUAAUUAAGAACAUGUAAAAUAGAGCCAUGACAUGGGUAGGGACAUUGGAGGGAGACUUAGAGAACUUCUAAAAUGUGAUGGGGUUGCAUCAAUCAUUAUCUCUUAGCCCAUUUUUACCUUCAUCAGUGAUGCAUAAAUUAAUGCAGCAUAUCCAAAGAGAAGUGGCACGGUGUAUAUUAUUUGCAAAUAAUAUAAUUUUGAUUGACAAGACCCGUGACGUAGUUAACGCUAAGCUAGAGAUUUAAAGAUAGACCAAGGAAUCUAAAGGGUUCAAGUUGAGUAAGAUAUAAUAUAGAAAAUUUUAAAGUAGCGUAAUGUUUGAGGGUCAAGUACUAUCUUGGUGAGAUUAUUGUUUGAUAAAAUUUGUCAGGUUGUCUAAAGAAUUUUGUCAUGACCUCUUCAUUUCCAUUAUUUCCUUUUUAGAACUUCUUUGAAUUGUUUUUUGCUUGAGUUGAAAGUCUAUUAGAAAUAGUAUUUUUACCUCCAACAUAGGGGUAAGAUCUGGCUCAAUCCCCACUCCCACCCCCAUCCCCCAAUCCCACUUAGUACGAUUACACUGGUAUGUUUUUGUUUCCAGUUGCGUAGUUCAAUUUUUGAUAGUAUGUGAUAGCAUCCACGAUGGCAUGGUUCCAUUAAAGUUGAAGGGCUUCAGUGAAAAAUCAAGAAGAAUUUUAUAGUGAAAGAAAGAUAUGAGAAUGAGCCUAAGAAUUAUGGUAACGAGUGGGUCAAGUACUACACACAUUUUGUGAUCCAAGUUCAAGCCCAAAAAGAGGAAGAUUGGAACCCCACUAAUCACCAAAGAAGAUGCCAAAGAAGCUGAAUUUCUAUUCCCACAUGCAGGACAAAAGAGAGUCGAAGGAGCUACCACAUGGAAACUCAAAGGAGACCAAAGAGAGGCUGAUUUGAAUGAACAAAGGUGCUUAAAUUUCAAGUGCAAAAAGGCUGAAAUUCGUUCCCAAAUGUGGGGCUAAACUAAUGCCCAAAAUGGGACUGCUUUGGCAUAACUUUUCGGUCAAGUUUCAUCACGUUUUCCCUUUAUUUUUCUCAUACAAUUUAGAAGUCAAGUUUCUUUACUUUUUAUAUUUCUUUUUCUUGGCCAAUUUACAAAGAAAUUUGGUAUUAUUUUACAUGUUUUCCUAGUUUAAAGUUUCUUAGUUUAAAAGCUUCCUAGUUAGGCUUUUCUAUUUAUUAUUUCCAUAAAAGUAGAAUUCAAACCCCAUGCUAUUUAAGAUAGGUUUUUCCUACAUAUAAGAGUGGUUUUGUUAUUUUCAAUUAGACAUGAUUGAUAUUAUUUGAGAGGUUUAUCUUUUUUACGCUUUUGUAUGUGAUGACUAUCAAUUUAUCUUACAACCUUAUAAGAACGAAUCUUUAAGGGGUAAGAUUAAUUUCUUUAACUUGAUAUCUUUGGUUCUUUUCAUAAAUUAAAGAAUGUAAUUGGUAUUAUAUUAAUUGUUGUCUCUAAUUCCUUCAAAAUAGGGCUUUAAAUCACUUUUGAUCUAUGUAUUUUUGGGGCUAUGUAGCUUACCUUUUGCGAUUACACCAAAAAAAUCUCCUUUUAUUUUUCUUGGAACUCCCAAGAUUAUCAAGAGCGGAACCUUGAUGGAACAGAUCUGAUACCACUUGAUAAGAAUUGGGUUACUUAAAUAAACAAUAAAUAAUGAUUAAAGAUGAGAAAUUAAAGAGAGACAAAAUUUGAGAAUAAAAUAUCCAAAUGUCAAAAUAAAGUGCUAAAAACCCUAAUUGAUCUUAUUAUUCAAGAUUAGUGAACUAAAACUAAUUAUAAUACUAAAAGGGAAGCCCAAUUCACUAAAGCUCCCGCUAUGCGCAUGGGUUCGGGGAAGGAACCCACCAUAAGGGUGUAUCGUAUGCAACCUUGCCUUGCAUUUCUGCCAAAAGAUAAGCAACAUAGCACAAAAAAAAAAAAAAGAGGGCCAAAAAAAUAGAAAUUUUAUGAAUAUAAUAAAAAAGGAGAAAAUUCAAGUUCUUGCAAAAAAGUUGCUUUUAGAAACUCUGGGCUUAUUGUGUUUCUUGGUUUCCAACAUCAAGAAGAAAAAACAAAAGGGGAAAUAUGGAGUUUUUCUUGUUACACAAAUUGUUUUUUUUCUUGUUUUAUCAAUCGCCUGGGUAUUACAUCAUACUUCUAAAGGGUUCUUGCUAGUAAGGUAUAUAUAUAAAUCCUAAAGGAUCCAUCAAGAGGUUGUAAUUUUAGUGGAAAGAGCCAACGGAGAGUGAGAUCAAUAGAGAGCAAAAAAAAAAAAGCCAAAUUAGGAGAUACUUGCUUCUUUGAUCUUUUCUUGAUUUCCGUUAAAUAGAUAAGAAAACUAAAGUUGGUUCUCAAAUGACAACAUAGCUAAAGCGCUAAGAAUGAUUAUUGGUCGAUUUGAUGCUUUAGAUGCCACUUUUAUUGAGCGAAGAAGAGCAAAUUGAACAAAGGUACAACUUGAGAAGGAUGAGAAGGACCGAGGUAGGGUUAUUUUUCAAACUAGAGUUAAAGUAUUUUCUAAGUUAUGUGCCAUGAGAACUGACAAACAAUCUGGCUAUAACUUAAUCAGUACUAACAUUGUCGAGAGAUUGAAAUUACCUUCUAUUGAGCUUAUUUCAUCCUACAUCUGUAAAGGAGUAGAGGUAAAUAAAAGGGUGUUAUUAUCCUUUCCUCUCGGAAGUUAGGAGGACAAGACUUGGUACGAUAUUUCUCCCAUGUAUAAUUGUUAUAUAAGAUUGGAAAAAUAGUGGUAUACUAAUAGUGGAGCUUUAUAAAUCAUAGAAAAGAAUACAUGACUAUGAGUACUCUUAUACUUAUGUGAAUAAAUUUUAUGUGAAAAGUCUUUGAGAGGUAUAAUUGAGGAUGCUUGGCUAUAUCAUAAAAGUAUUUAAUUUUAUGCAUGGAGUAGGGAUUUUUUAACAUCCUUGUCAUUUCCAUUGGAGUACUUUAUUGAUAGAACUAGCUUAGAAUUACAUGUAUCAUUAGCAAAGGCAUCUGGAUGAGAAUUUUGUUGUGCUUAUAUAAGUAGGAGAAUUUUCUAUUGGGAUGAUGAUAUCCACAUAUUUUAUAAGGGUUUUUUAAUAUAUGCUAGAAUUAACUGGGUUCCUGAGGUAUGGUCUGCGUACACUCUAUCCUUUCCAGACCCCACAAUGUGGGAAUACACUGGAUAUGUUGUUGUUGUGGAAUUAACUAGGUUAAGUGGAUGCCUAGUCACUAACAAAUUUUGUUCCUACUGUUGUUACCUUUCAGUAUUGGAUGUUGUUUACCAAUGCAUGCCUUCUUGAUUUUACGAGAUUCAAAUUCGAGGAUGAAUUAUUUUUAAGAAGAGGAGAAUGAUAGCAUCCACGGUGGUACACCUCCAUUAAAGUGGACUGGCUUUAAUGAAAAAUCACGAAAAUAUUAAUGGUGAAAGAAAGAUUCGAAUAUGAGCCUAAGAAUUAUGGUAACAAGUGGGCUUGGCGCUACACAUAUUUCAUGAUCCAAGUUCAAGACGAAACAGAGGAAGAUUGGAGCCCCAAUAAGCCCCAACGGAAAGGCCAAAGAAGCUGAAUUUCCAUUACCACAUGUAGGUCCAAAAUAUAGUCAAAGGAGAUGCAACAUGGAGAAUCAAACGAUCCCAAAGAGAGGCUUAUUUACAUGCAUAAAGAUGCUAAAAUUUCAAGCCUAGAAGGGCUGACAUGCCUGACCAAAUGUGCGGCUAAACUAACGCCCAAAAUGGGACAGCUUUGGUGUGGCUGUUGUCACAUUUUUUCACUUUUCCCUUUCUUUGCUUAGCCAAUUUAGGAAGAAAUUUGGAAUUAUUUUUACAUACUUUUCUACUAUAAACUUUCCUAAUUUAAAGUUUCUUAAUUUAAAAGUUUCCUAGUUAGGCUUCUCUAUUUAUUAUUUCCA
rnacentral:lncRNA from 1 species